rfam:Streptomyces decoyicus strain NRRL 2666 P029contig55.1, whole genome shotgun sequence.
GGGCAGUCAUCGCCGAGUCCCCGUACGGCGCGAGCCAGGGGAGCCGGGGACCCAGUGUCCCUUGGGGUGAAUCGGACUCCCCUCCGGAGGAGUCCGUAGGAGACCUUCCUGCUCCGAACCCGUCAGCUAACCCGGUAGGCGAGAAGGAAGGAAAGG